GACGAACGCUGGCGGCGUGCUUAACACAUGCAAGUCGAACGGAAAGGCCCUGCUUUUGUGGGGUGCUCGAGUGGCGAACGGGUGAGUAACACGUGAGUAACCUGCCCUUGACUUUGGGAUAACUUAAGGAAACUGGGGCUAAUACCGGCUAGGAGCUCCUGCUGCAUGGUGGGGGUGGGAAAGUUUCGGCGGUUGGGGAUGGACACGGGGCUCAUCGGUUCGUUGGUGGGGUAGUGGUUUACGAAGGUUUGGACGGGUAGCCGGCACUAGAGGGUGACCGGCCACAUUGGGACUGAGAUACGGCCACGACUCCUACGGGAGGCAGAAGUGGGAAAUAUUACAAAAGGGGCGGCAGCCUGAUGCAGAACCUCCGCGUGCGGGAUGACGGCCUUCGCGUUGGAAACCGCUUUCGCCUUUGACGAAGCGUGAGUGGCGGUAAUGGGUAAAGAAGCACCGGCUAACUACGUG
rnacentral:rRNA from 1 species